CAGCAGCCGCGGUAAUACGUAGGGUGCAAGCGUUAAUCGGAAUUACUGGGCGUAAAGCGUGCGCAGGCGGUUAUAUAAGACAGAUGUGAAAUCCCCGGGCUCAACCUGGGAACUGCAUUUGUGACUGUAUAGCUAGAGUACGGCAGAGGGGGAUGGAAUUCCGCGUGUAGCAGUGAAAUGCGUAGAUAUGCGGAGGAACACCGAUGGCGAAGGCAAUCCCCUGGGCCUGUACUGACGCUCAUGCACGAAAGCGUGGGGAGCAAACAGUAUUAGAUACCCCCGUAGUCCCUGUCUCUUAUAC
rnacentral:rRNA from 1 species